rnacentral:misc_RNA from 1 species
CUGCAUAACUUUCUGAUUGGCCCACUCAGUCCAACUCUGUAGUUUAUUCUGCAGUUCCUGCACCCGAGGAACUAACUUUAGGAUCAAUUCAUCUUUCUCAUCUUGUGGAACAUACUUCCCUAGAGACUUAUCAUACGGGAUUCUAGCAUAGUAAUCAGAUAAUUUAGGAAACACAACAGUGCUAUUCUCAGGCUUCAAUACGGGCUUCUUUCCUGAAACUAUGAGUUCAGUAUUUGCUGCAGUUGAUGCAGAUGCUGUCCCCUUCAUAUGUACUUUUGAAGAGUCAGAUGAUGCAGAUACAGCAGAUGGACUAUUGCUAGGAACAUGAGAACUUCCUUCUGUCGAAGCGGCUUCCACUUUGGCCUUUGUAUUCGAGGCAGAUCCUUUUGUCUGCACACCAUGUGAUUCAGACGGAGACUUCAUUCUCUUUUCCUCAAUCAAACCACCAAAACUAGUAACAUUUUCUGAUUGGGAGCCCGAUUUACCAUGAUCCUCCAGAACCCUCACUGAAUUUAUGGUUUUCUUCCGUUCUUUCUUCUUGAGUGACUUGCAUUCCUUCUUUGAUUUUCCUUCAGAGGCAGGUGUUUGGGAUGUAGGCUGGAUGGAUGCCUCAGAACUUGCUGGCAUAGAAAGAACAUUCUCCUUUUUGGUAUUUGAAGG